AAUCAUGACCUGAGCCGAAGGCAGAGGCCUUAACUCACUGAGCUACCCAGGAAGAUUUCGACGUCGAUCACUUUGGGUCUGACUGUAGGAAGCGUGUCCAGCUGGAGGAACUAAGAGGAGAUCUGGAACUCUACUAUAAACUUCUUAAAAUAGCCAUGGUCGAGCUCAUCAACAAGGAUUAUGCAGAUUUUGUCAACCUUUCCACAAACUUGGUUGGCAUGGACAAAGCCCUCAAUCAACUUUCUGUGCCUUUGGGACAGUUACGAGAAGUUCUGAGUCUCAGGUCAUCUGUCAGUGAAGGAAUUCGGGCAGUAGAUGAACGAAUGUGUAAACAUGAGGACAUAAGGAAGAAAAAGAUGUGUGUGUUGAGGCUUAUACAAGUUAUUUGAUCAGUUGAAAAGAUUGAAAAAAUCUUAAAUUCACAAAGUUCUAAAGAAACCUCUGCACUAGAAGCAAGCAGCCCGUUGCACUCGUGCUUCUGCCCCAUUCGUCCACACUUAGCAGACAGUCUGUACGCGGCCCUUCUGCAGCCCGUGUGUCUCCAGCGGCUCUGCUUCGCUGCGGCCCUUGGCAGCGCCUGCAGCCCCUCCAGCCAUGUCCACGUUCGGCCCCUGGGGAGCUGGCCCUCCAGUGUUCUUCCCGUCUUUGCUGUUGCUGCUGUGCUCCUCGGAUAGAAACACCUCAGUGAGCUCUGUGUCUACAAUCCUGUCCCUUUGCAACACUGUCCUUGAUAAACAGACAUUGUGCGCUUUCUUGCUCAGAAUUACCUUGGAGGACUUUUUUCUCCAGAAGAGCAGCUCUGAGCUCUAGAGUCAGGAAAGCCAGAGCAGCGUCAGCGCACGGUAAAUCCAUCAUGCUCUGCCAGGCCCAGAAAUGCCGAGAUAAGGAUAAAUAGGAAAUGCGCAUGGGAUCAGUCAGUAGAGGUUGGGAUUAGGCUUCGGCGCUGUUCAUGCCAAGCGCUUGCCUUCCCUCCACACCAGUUCUGAUGCUCUGGGACGGGGCACACCGUGGCAGGUCUCCAGAGAUUUUGGGUUUCCUUACAGUGUGUUUCCUCACUACCUGACUGCCCAUCCUCAGAUGUGGGAUGCCUCAUAGAGCCCAGCAGGGGCUUUGGGGCCUUUGUUGUGUUUUUUUUUUUUUCUUUCAGUGUUCGGCUUCCUUUUGAAUGGGGUUGACGCUUUCUAAUGUGGGGGGCAAGAGGGAAGUGUAUCCAGUCCACUUGAUGGCAGAUGCACUGUGAGUGAUUUCUCACCAGCUCCCGGAGCACCGAGCUUGCUCUUUCUGCCGUUGGGUAAAUGUAAACUUGGAGUCCGCUGCUCUGAGCAAUUUCCCAGGUUGCUGCUAGGCGGUCAGUUUUAGCUGAUUGAGGAGACAGCAGUAGUUGGUACUGGGGAGGUACUUGGGAGGGAGAACGAGGCAGGCGGAGAAGAAGAGGGGGAUUCGGGUAUGAACGGUAGGACAGGGCAAGAGAGAGGAGGGGGUUAGAGAAUGGGAGAAGAAGGGAGAAGAAGGGCACGAAUGGGAGAGCCCGAGGAACGUGGUGGAAACAUGCAGUUGUACCCACACUGACCUAAAAUAGCUCCAUCCCCUUGCCUGGGCCCUGUGGCCCGGGCCAGGCUGCGUCGGUGGCUUCUACGACCUCCCCGCUCCUCACCCCUCGCACCUGGGGCCUGCUGCACAGACAGUUUGUCCUGAAAAUUGAUGGCGUGCAGGUGCAGGUGCCUGAGCGCUGUGAGGCAUGGGGGGCGGUGGGGGUGGCAGGUUUUAACUUUGGGAAUUACACUUCUCUAAUUGUCUCUACUAGCCCUCUCUGGACUAGACAGAUUUUGGAGAGAAUUGCCACAGAAUUUAACCAGUUACAGUUUCAUGCUGUUCAGAGCAAAGGCAUGCCUCUUCUGGACAAAGUAAGACCACGUAUAGCCCACAUUACGGCCAUGCUGCAGCAGUCCCUGGGAGGCCUGCUGCUAGAAGGGCUUCAGACUUCCAAUGUGGACAUCAUACGGCACUGCCUCCAGACUUACGCUACAAUUGACAAGACACGGGAUGCAGAGGCGUUAGUUGGUCAAGUACUGGUGAAACCGUACAUGGAUGAGGUUUGUGCCCCCAUGCACCUCAUUCCACAAACACAGAGCAUCUAAUCUGGCUUCGUUUCUUGACUGGGUGCGAGAGAGCUCAGGGCUCUUCCUUGAAGAUGCUCUUAGUUCCUGCUCUUCUGGUUGUAAGAAAAGGUUGGUCCCGCUUGGUGCCCAUCAGCAUGGCAGGAAUCAGGCAUGCGCUCUGGUCUCUUCCAGUGAUGCCAUAACUCAGGGAUCAUCUUAAUUUAGUAGGGGUGAGGGACUUGCCUAGGAAGAAGGUACGGAUCAGAACAUUUUCAGGUCAAUUUCGAUUUCCAUAAGUUAUACGUUAAUGAAGUUGCCGAAAAGCGUGACCCCACCAAGGCGCCCGUGCCCACUGGAGGAGCUGGAAGACAGCUCUGUGCGCAGGGAAAGUCUGUGAGGGGAGGCGUCUUCGCAGAAUUGAUGUGGCCUAAGUCUUGAAGACCAUGGGGGAGUUUGCCAGGCUAGGAAGGUGGGAGGGAGGGAAUAUUCAAAGAUAAAGGGCUUUUAAGGGCGAGUUAGCGGGGUAGUACCUUAAGUCCGGAACUUGGUUACCCAGUGUUCUUGACCUAUAAGGAUACAGUUAAAUACAGGGAGUCAGUGUAUCCUGCCUCUGAGCGGCCGGAGUAUGGGCUGCACCAUGUGAGGCCGCCAGCAAUCAGCAGCUUCCAACUUAGAGAGCGUCGGUUUCAUCUAGUUCAGGCUGACAGAAGUCAUGAAGCCAGUCUCAGCGUUUGAGGGCUUUCUUCCAGUCACCUGCCAGUGCGAGUGUUCUUUCUGUCCGGUAAGUAUAAAGCUACCCACCAUGACUUCAGGAUGAAAGGCUUCCAGUUUUAAAACGAGACAGUAUCCCAGUGAUAGAAGUGAAAUUGAAGGAUUAAUUUCAGUAAUCUUCUCAGCUUCAUUAAGACUACUAAAAGUAAAUGAUCUGUCAGUUCUUUGUAUGUAUCCUAUUAUAGUUCAUAGCUCUCUCUGUGGGGGUGAAAAAGAUCACAUUAUUCUUUGUCACUAAAUGAAAAUAUUUUAGUUAUUUAA